rnacentral:rRNA from 1 species
AAAAAAGCCGCUAUUGUUUCAUGUGUGCCCGUACCGUAAACCGACACAGGUGGAUGAGGAGAGAAUCCUAAGGCCGGCGGAAGAAGCAUUGUUAAGGAACUCGGCAAAAUGACCCCGUAACUUCGGGAGAAGGGGUGCCUGCUAACGCAGGCCGCAGAGAAUAGGCUCAAGCAACUGUUUAGCAAAAACACAGGUCUAUGCGAAACCGAAAGGUGAAGUAUAUGGGCUGACGCCUGCCCGGUGCUGGAAGGUUAAGAGGAGAGGUUAGCGCAAGCGAAGCUUUGAAUUUAAGCCCCAGUAAACGGCGGCCGUAACUAUAACGGUCCUAAGGUAGCGAAAUUCCUUGUCGGGUAAGUUCCGACCCGCACGAAAGGCGUAAUGAUUUGAGCACUGUCUCGACAAUGCAUCCGGUGAAAUUGAAGUACCAGUGAAGAUGCUGGUUACCCGCGCCAGGACGGAAAGACCCCAUGGAGCUUUACUCCAGUUUGGUACUGGGAUUCGGUACUGCAUGUACAGGAUAGGUGGGAGACUAAGAACUUGGGACGCCAGUUUCAAGGGAGUCGCUGUUGGGAUACCACCCUUGCAGUAUUGGAUUUCUAACCAGCCGCCGUGAUCCGGCGGUGGGACAAUGCCAGGCGGGGAGUUUGACUGGGGCGGUCGCCUCCGAAAGGGUAUCGGAGGCGCUCAGAGGUUCCCUCAGAAUGGUUGGAAACCAUUUGAAGAGUGCAAAGGCAGAAGGGAGCUUGACUGCGACACCGACGGGUGGAGCAGGUAGGAAACUAGGACUUAGUGAUCCGGUGGCAUAAAGUGGGAUUGCCAUCGCUCAACGGAUAAAAGCUACCCUGGGAUAACAGGCUCAUCACUCCCAAGAGUUCACAUCGACGGAGUGGUUUGGCACCUCGAUGUCGGCUCAUCGCAUCCUGGGGCUGUAGCAGGUCCCAAGGGUUGGGCUGUUCGCCCAUUAAAGCGGUACGCGAGCUGGGUUCAGAACGUCGUGAGACAGUUCGGUCCCUAUCCGGCGCGGGCGGAGGAUAUUUGAGAGGAGCUGUCCUUAGUACGAGAGGACCGGGAUGGACGGACCACUGGUGUAUCUGCUGUCGACCAACGGCAUGGCAGAGUAGCCAAGUCCGGAAGGGAUAAACGCUGAAGGCAUCUAAGCGUGAAGCCCCCCUCAAGAUGAGAUAUCCCUCACAUAAGUGAGUAAGAUCCCUUGAAGACUACAAGGUAGAUAGGGCAGAGGUGGAAGCACGGUAACGUGUGGAGCUGACUGUUACUAAUCGAUCGAGGGCUUGACC